GCUAACGUCCGUUGUGGAAAGGGAAACAACCCAGAUCGCCAACUAAGGUCCCAAAAUUACAGCUAAGUGGGAAACGAAGUGAGAAGUCAAAGACAGCCAGGAGGUUGGCUUAGAAGCAGCCAUCCUUUAAAGAAAGCGUAAUAGCUCACUGGUCAAGCCGACUUGCGCGGAAGAUUUAACGGGGCUUAAGCUGUAUACCGAAGUUGCGAAUGCUUAUUUUUUAAUAAGCGUGGUAGGGGAGCGUUCUGUAAGUCAAUGAAGGCAUAUUGUGAGAUAUGCUGGAGAUAUCAGAAGUGAGAAUGCUGACAUGAGUAACGAUAAUGCGGGUGAAAAACCCGCACGCCGAAAACCCAAGGGUUCCUGCGCAACGUUAAUCGACGCAGGGUUAGUCGGUACCUAAGGCGAGACCGAAAGGUGUAGUCGAUGGACAACAGGUUAAUAUUCCUGUACCGCGUAUACUGCGAUGGGGGGACGGAGAAGGCUAAGCUUACCGGGUGUUGGUUAUCCCGGGAAAAGUAUGUAGGUAGAGAACUUUGGAAAAUCCGGGUUCUUAUUACUGAGAUACGAGACCAUUGAUUUUUUAAUCAAGAAGUAGCUGAUGCCAUGCUUCCAAGAAAAGCCUCUAAGCUUCAGGUAUUACGUGACCGUACCCCAAACCGACACAGGUGGGUGGGAUGAGAAUUCUAAGGCGCUUGAGAAAACUCUGGUGAAGGAACUAGGCAAAUUGGUACCGUAACUUCGGAAGAAGGUACGCCUCUGUUGGUGAUUGAACUUGCUUCAUAAGCUGAUGGAGGUCUCAGAAACCAGGUGGCUGCGACUGUUUACUAAAAACACAGCACUCUGCUAACUCGUAAGAGGAUGUAUAGGGUGUGACGCCUGCCCGGUGCCGGAAGGUUAAUUGAUCGAGUUAGCCCUUUUUGGGCGAAGCCCGUGAUCGAAGCCCCGGUGAACGGCGGCCGUAACUAUAACGGUCCUAAGGUAGCGAAAUUCCUUGUCGGGUAAGUUCCGACCUGCACGAAUGGCGUAACGACGGCCACACUGUCUCCACCCGAGACUCAGUGAAAUUGAAAUUGCUGUUAAGAUGCAGUAUACCCGCGGCCAGACGGAAAGACCCCGUGCACCUUUACUACAGCUUUACAUUGAACUCUGAUCCUACUUGUGUAGGAUAGGUGGGAGGCUUUGAAGUUCUAACGCUAGUUAGAGUGGAGCCGCCCUUGAAAUACCACCCUGGUAUGGUUGGGGUUCUAACCUAGGUCCGUAAUCCGGAUCGGGGACAAUGUAUGGUGGGUAGUUUGACUGGGGCGGUCUCCUCCUAAAGAGUAACGGAGGAGCGCAAAGGUAUCCUCAGCACGGUCGGACAUCGUGCAAUGAGCGCAAAGGUAAAAGGAUGCUUGACUGCGAGACAUACACGUCGAGCAGGUAGGAAACUAGGUCUUAGUGAUCCGGUGGUUCUGAGUGGAAGGACCAUCGCUCAACGGAUAAAAGGUACGCCGGGGAUAACAGGCUGAUACCCCCCAAGAGUUCACAUCGACGGGGGUGUUUGGCACCUCGAUGUCGGCUCAUCACAUCCUGGGGCUGAAGCAGGUCCCAAGGGUAUGGCUGUUCGCCAUUUAAAGUGGUACGCGAGCUGGGUUUAGAACGUCGUGAGACAGUUCGGUCCCUAUCUACCGUGGGCGUUGGAGACUUGAGGGUAGCUGUUCUUAGUACGAGAGGACCGGAACGGACACACCUCUGGUGUUUCGGUUGUGACGCCAGUCGCAUUGCCGAGUAGCUAUGUGUGGAAAGGAUAACCGCUGAAAGCAUCUAAGCGGGAAGCCCCACCCAAGAUUAGGUCUCCCUGAUUAUUUAAUAAUCCUAAAGAUCCCUCGAAGACUACGAGGUUGAUAGGCUAGGUGUGGAAGUGCAGCAAUGCAUGAAGCUAACUAGUACUAAUUGAUCGUGAGGCUUGACC
rnacentral:rRNA from 1 species